UUCCUUCUCCAACUCGGCAAUGUUGUCUGCAGGCCAGUUUAGAUGUCCUCGCAAGGUUCAACUUCAUAGCUCGUAGAACUCUUCUUCUUCUUCUUCCUCUGUCAUGGACGAGGUGGACGUGAGGUGCCUCGAAUGCAGGAAAUGGAAGCAGCACUACUACUGGAAUCAUUUUGAAGCCACAAAGAGGCGUUUCUUCAAGGUUCUGAUUGCUGAUUUCUCAAGAAAACUCGUAAGUAGCUCGUAAAGCUUGUUCAUUCGGCCUUACCAGCAACAGUGUUGGCAUCUGAUGAUAUGCGCAUUGCACGCCAUGUUUGCAGAGCAUCCCCAGGAAGUUUGUGCUGCACUUCAAGGACUUACCGG
rnacentral:lncRNA from 1 species